CUCACUUCUGCAUGAUAUAUACUAAAAUUGGAACGAUAAAGAGAAGAUUAGCAUGGCCCCUGCCCAAGGAUGACAUGCAAAUUCAUGAAAUGUUUCAUAUUUUA
ensembl:snRNA U6 U6 spliceosomal RNA